GAGGAAAGGGAUGUAUUGAAGACUGUUCUCCAGUUUCACUGUCUGAAUUGCAGGUUGCUUGUGGGAAGCUUAGUGUUUUUUUCUUUACUAACCACUUGUCCGCCUGGCAUGAAUAUUGUGGUUGACCGUGCUUGCUGCUUUUCCUUCCAGCGUUACACACAGAGCAAUGGGCGCAGGCCAUUUGGUAUCUCUGCCCUAAUUGUGGGUUUCGACUUCGAUGGCACCCCCAGACUCUAUCAGACUGACCCCUCAGGCACAUACCAUGCUUGGAAGGUAAGACUGUUUCAGGACAGGGGAACUUUGGGCUGUUGGGAGGUACAGAGCUGACAUCAGCAAAUGCAUAACCUCUGAGCUCAGUUCUGUACGCACUGCCUUCUUGUUCCAUCGUGUGUGUGUAUGAAAUCGGGACAUUCUACAUUCCCGAUUGGUGUUGCAUCAGGAGAAUGGGUUAUAAUAGGAUUUAUAAUAGGAUUUUCAUUGUUGGCAAAGAGCAAUAGCAGGUGAUGAUAGUGUGCACCUCCUGUCCGCCCCCCCCUCAUAAAAAAAAAAAAAAGGUAGGGCCUGGGUCUGUGCCAUCACCUCCCACUUCUGGAGAGCUAACUGCAGUCCAUGGGAGGAAGAGGCAGCCACUAGCCAGCCACUCAGACCGGCUCUACUAACACACGUUUUAGGCCAAUGCCAUAGGCCGGGGUGCCAAGUCGGUGCGUGAAUUUCUGGAGAAGAACUACACAGAUGAUGCCAUUGAAACAGACGAUCUGACCAUCAAACUGGUGAUCAAGGCGCUGCUGGAAGUGAGUGCACUCGGGACAACCCCCACCCCCACCCUGACAGGGCGGGCCUGCUGGGUGGCAGUGUGUUCUGUAUACAGGUGGACAGGCUUGCCUAGGGCAGAACAUGAGACGCAGUCUGAGCUUGCUCAGGUGACUGUCUUUCCUGAGGUGUGUUGCUAAAUUGUGGAAAUAGGAUGCAAGUAGGUUAAGCCAGAGUGAAUAGCUGGAAAUACAGGCCUUGAGUCCCAGUGGCCAUUGCUGCCUAUUGAAGAGUAGUUGUAGACUGGAGGUUACAUAGCCAUCUUGCUUGAGUAGGCCUGACCCAGCAGCAUUUGG
rnacentral:lncRNA from 1 species